rnacentral:rRNA from 1 species
AUGACAAUCCAACGCAUGUUCUUCCUCGUGUCUUUGAGCCUGCUGCUACAUCUAUGGGCGGCAGAGGCCGCCACUGGCAACGCCGAAGAAGCACAAGCACAGGCACUCCUCCGAUGGAAGUCCACGCUGCUCAACUCCUCCUCUUUGUCCUCGUGGUCGCGUGCCACACCGACCUGUUCCUGGCAUGGUGUAACAUGUGACCCCCAUGGCCAUGCUACCAAGCUCGAGCUUCCAUGGUGCAACCUCAACGGCACCCUUGACGCCCUGUAUUCCGCCGCGCUCGGGAGUCUCACCGAGCUCACCCUCUACACCAACAGCCUCGCCGGCGCCAUCCCGGUGAACAUCUCCCUAUUUCUCAACCUCGCCACUCUGAACUUGGGCAGCAACAACUUUGUUGGUCCCAUACCCUACCAGUUCAGCAAACUGAAGCACUUGACGUGCCUUGAUCUGUCUAGCAACAGGCUAUCUGGGCAGAUACCACGUUCGCUCUCGGUGCUCGCAGCACUAGAGUCUCUAAACCUUGGACAGAACAAUCUUACCGGAGGAAUCCCAGAGGAGCUCGGGAUGCUGCAUAGUUUGGCUCAGCUUGAACUGAACAUCAACUCGUUCUUCGGACCGAUCCCAGCAUCACUUGGACAGCUUCAGAUGCUAGAAUAUCUAGACAUAAGUGGAAAUCAUUUAGGUUCAACCAUCCCUUCCAAGCUGGGAAACCUUACUCGUCUGUCGUCUCAUCAACAUAGACCUGUCCUGGAACAAGCUUUGUGGAGGUUUGCCCACAACCUUUUCCAGGUUGUGGCACCUGGAAUCGUUUGUAAUGGGGAACAACAAUCUCGACGGCACUGUUCCACCAGACUUCUUCACAAACUGGACCAACUCGCUCACAAGGUUCGAUAUAGCAAACAACUCUUUCACGGGAAGCAUCCCACCGGAGAUUGUUCGGUGGGAGAUUCUAUAUUGGUUUGGUUGUCCCUCUCUGGCAACGUUUUCGCCGGCAUGAUCCCCACUGAGCUAGUAAGCAUGCAACACUUGGAGGUGGUGGACCUGUCCAAUAAUCAUCUUAAUGGCAUGAUACCAUCAGAGAUUGGCAACUUGUCAUCAAGUUUAGUAACCCUGGACCUUAGCUCCAACCAGUUGGAGGGCAAGAUUCCUACUAUGAACCCCGACACUGCCAGUAACAAUUCCUUGUCUCAUGCUACUAUCAUCUCCUUGUCCGGAAACAAAUUUACAGGCAUUAUUGACUGGAAUUUCUGUCAACUACCUAAUUUACAGUUCUUGGAUCUAUCAGACAAUCUGUUGUCUGGAGUUAUCCCUAAUUGCCUUUGGAGCUUGCCGAAUCUUGUGUACCUGGAUUUGUCAAGCAAUGCUAUUGAUGGAGAAGUUCCAAUCUCAGUACACAAUAUCUCUCCACUGGUUUCACUACAUCUAUCUAACAACCACUUCACAGGAUGCUUUCCAUCUGUUGUAAGGAACUUCAGAAACCUAAUCACUCUAGAUCUUGGUGGCAACAAGUUUUCCGGUGUAAUUCCUACUUGGAUAGGGGCAAGCAAUUCUUUGCUAAGGGUUCUCCGACUACGAUCAAAUAUGUUCCAUGGAAGUAUUCCUCAUGAGGUUACACAACUCAUUCGUCUCCAAGUACUUGACCUAGCUGAAAACAAUCUGACAGGCUGCGUACCAGUUAGUUUUGCUAGCUUUACUCACAGGAAAUGGCCAGAACGGACCUCGCUAGGGAUGGAUCUGAGUUCUGUGUACUACUCAAUUGAUGGCCAGCUUGACAUAAUUUGGAAGGGGCAAGAUUAUACUUUCCAUAGAGCAAUUUGGCUUAUGACUGGCAUUGAUCUAUCAAGCAACUCUCUUUCCGGUGAGAUCCCCACAGAGUUACUUAAUCUUCAUGAAAUUCGGUUCCUCAACUUGUCUAGAAAUAACUUAUCUGGUGGUAUCCCAAACAACAUUGGCAACAUGGUAGAUAUGGAGUCCCUUGAUUUCUCUUGGUAUAAGCUCUCAGGUCCCAUUCCAUCAAGCAUAUCAGACUUGAUGUACUUGAGCUCACUUAAUCUCUCCAACAAUCUUCUUUCAGGGGAGAUACCUCAUGGUAAUCAGCUUCAAACGCUCAAUGACCCGUCUAUUUAUGGCCACAACCAGGGGCUCUGUGGCCGCGCUCUGAGCAUUGCAUGUACCAACGGUUCAAGUGGUACAACAACACUAUACGGGGUAAGUGAGCAUCACCAAGAACUUGAUGUUGUCUGGCUGUACUACUCAGUGGUCGCUGGAAUUGUCUUUGGUUUCUGGCUAUGGUUUGGAACAUUAUUUUUCUGGAAGCGUUGGAGGUUCACUUUUUUCCAUUCCAUCGACGCCGUGCAGCAAGAAGUUGCGCAGACGUUGAAGCAUAUAUGA